GUAGGUGAACCUGCGGAAGGAUCAUUACAGAGUUCAUGCCCUCACGGGUAGACCUCCCACCCCUGUGUAUCUAUACCGCGUUGCUUUGGCGAGCUGCGCGGGGCCUGCCCGCCCCGCGCCCCAGGCUUUCGAGCCUGAGAGUCGCUCGCCGGAGGAAAACCCAAACCCUGAUUAUCAGUGUCGUCUGAGUACUAUACAAUAGUUAAAACUUUCAACAACGGAUCUCUUGGCUCUGGCAUCGAUGAAGAACGCAGCGAAAUGCGAUAAGUAAUGUGAAUUGCAGAAUUCAGUGAAUCAUCGAAUCUUUGAACGCACAUUGCGCCCCCUGGUAUUCCGGGGGGCAUGCCUGUCCGAGCGUCAUUUCAACCCUCAAGCGCAGCUUGGUAUUGGGCUUCGUCGGUCACCCGGCGUGCCUCAAAAGCAGUGGCGGCGCCGCUGAGCCCUGAACGUAGUAGCAAACUCUCGUUACAGGUGCCCCGCGUGCCCUCGCCAUCAAACCCCCCAUCUUUCUAUGGUUGACCUCGGAUCAGGUAGGGAUACCCGCUGAACUUAAGCAUAUCA
rnacentral:sRNA from 1 species